CUUUGAUUUCAGGAACCGUCUUUCUCUGUACAGUUUAAGAGAAGGGUCCUGGUUUACAAACUCCAUUGUUUCUUGCGCAGCACUCUGAGCCAGUCUCUUUAAUUGACGUCAACAACUUCCUGAGGAACCUGCUCUUUUUAACAGCACAUUUGAGCCCCCAUAUGACACACCUUGUGACUUCUCCUGGCCUGUGGGUGAGUCUAGACAGUUGAUCGGAAUUUGAGACCAGAAGAGGGUGUCGUAUCCCCAAGAACCAGAGUUACAGAUGCUUGUGAGCUGUCCUGUAGGUACUGGAAACUAAACCUGGGUCGCCUGGAAG